GCCUCAGUGGCUCAGUUGGUUGAGCAUCUGACUUUGGCUCAGGUCAUGAUCUCAUGAUCUCAUGGUCCGUGAGUUCGAGCCUCAUGUCAGGCU
rnacentral:tRNA from 1 species